rnacentral:rRNA from 1 species
AGUGAACGCUGGCGGUAGGCCUAACACAUGCAAGUCGAACGGCAGCACAGUAAGAGCUUGCUCUUACGGGUGGCGAGUGGCGGACGGGUGAGGAAUACAUCGGAAUCUACUUUUUCGUGGGGGAUAACGUAGGGAAACUUACGCUAAUACCGCAUACGACCUACGGGUGAAAGCAGUGGAUCUUCGGACCUUGCGCGAUUGAAUGAGCCGAUGUCGGAUUAGCUAGUUGGCGGGGUAAAGGCCCACCAAGGCGACGAUCCGUAGCUGGUCUGAGAGGAUGAUCAGCCACACUGGAACUGAGACACGGUCCAGACUCCUACGGGAGGCAGCAGUGGGGAAUAUUGGACAAUGGGCGCAAGCCUGAUCCAGCCAUACCGCGUGGGUGAAGAAGGCCUUCGGGUUGUAAAGCCCCUUUGUUGGGAAAGAAAAGCAGCAGGUUAAUACCCCGCUGUUCUGACGGUACCCAAAGAAUAAGCACCGGCUAACUUCGUG